rnacentral:lncRNA from 1 species
AUGCAGCGAAUCCCUGCUCCUCCUCCCCAGGGCUUGGUCCGACGAAAGUUCCUGGGAAUCGGAGUUCCUGUCGUGGCACAGCGGAAACACAUCCGACGAGGAACCAUGAGGUGGCGGGUUCGCUCCCCGGCCUCACUCACUGGGUUAAGAAUCCGGCAUGGCUGUGAGCUGUGGUGUAGGUCACAGAUGUGGUUCGGAUCCCGCGUUGCUGUGGCUCUGGCACAGGCCGGCAGCCCNCGCAGAUGUGGUUCGGAUCCCGAGUUGCUGUGGCUCUGGCACAGGCCGGUAGCCCCAGCUCCGAUUCGACCCCUAGCCUGGGAACCUCCCUCCAUAUGCCGCAGGUAUGGCCCUAAAAAGACAAAAAGAAGAAGAAGAAGAAGAAAAAAAAAUUCCUGGGCAUGUUUGAUGGCCAAUGGAGAGAAUCAGGGUGGUGGUUCUGAAGGGUGGAGAGGUCACGCUGGCAGGGGGCAGAGUGUGUUUCUGGCAGAGGGCGGGGAGGUUUAUAACUGGGAAGAGAGGAGAGAAGGCUGGAAGGAGACGGUAAAGCUAGAUCAGAGCUCACAGGCAGAGCCAUGAGACCCAGGUGGAAAAUUCCCGCUACUUUGGGGCUUUCUCCCAAAGGAGGGGCCAGGCCUGGGGUGGCCAGUCAAGGCAGAGCGUGGCGUGUUGACUGGGAGGAGGCAGAGGGCUGACCGGUCGUUAUUGCUUUGCUCACCGGCCCGACUGGUUAUCAAUCUCCAUCCAGCGUAAUUACGGUUCUCUUGUGCCCCCGACCAAACCUUAGUCUGAGAUGCAUCUUCGGCAGGUAGCCUUUGUCUCGGGGCCAGGGCUGUCUUCCUGGCUGUUGACAGGGCCUUGGGCCUUGGCCAGCCUCGCAUCAAAAGCCCCUGUAGCGACUUGCAGCUGCAGCCCUGGCCGGAUCAGCCUGAAGGGGUCUCUCGGGGGAGCUGGAUGCCCCAGCCUGCGGCGGAGCUAACUCCCCACCAGCGUCCGCUCCCUUCUCCUCGGCAACCUUCUUUUCCUUCCACGUGGUUUGGCAGAGGCUGAAAGGCAGAAGAUUAUAGGCAUGCACUACAUCCCCACAAACCAGCGUGAAACCCCGUGGUUGUCUUUUUCCACCCUCUGCCUCUACUUAGUUUUUCCUUUCUCUGAGGGACUGGGUUCCCAACAUCUUCUCCUUCCCCGGGAUCAAUCAGUUGGCAGGGUGUUGUGGGAAGUAAAUUUGCAUUCAAUCAUGCCCAUGGCAACCAUCAGAAGCAGGGCCCGCGUUGCUGUCCUGGAGCCCAGACUCCAUUCUGUUUUAAAAGCUUUGGGGUUUACAAAACUAAGUGGACUAGAACAUAACUUUUAAUAGCACAUUUGAACAGAAUUUAAUGAGGUUUUAAGACAGAGCUAUAAAGUGGUUUUUCUGCAAGGACUAUUAUUAAUCAUAAGAAUAAUCAUAGCAGUCUAUUUCGUUUGCUCAGCAUGUUCCAAUAUUCAAGACAUUUUCACAUUUAGUCAUCCCAUUUGACACUCAGCUCUUCUGGGAGGUCAGCAGGGCUGACCUUACCUUCUUGUAGCUUAGAACCGUUUUUUUCCAAACAUUAACGUGCACAGGGAUCCCCGGGGGAUUGGUUAAGAUGCAGCUUCCAAUGCAAUCACUCCGGGGUUGGCCUGAGAUCCUGCAUUUCUAACCCUCAGGUGACACCCAUGCUGUAGAUCCAUGGACCACCCUGGAGUAAGAGUCAUAAGAAUGAGUCACUCCAAAUAUGCAUAGAUAAAUGGUGUGAGAGCCAGAAUUUCUUCCUCUCUUUCUCCCAUCCACAAAUACCGGUUCAGCGCUUUCUAUGGCCUAGAUGUGAUUCUAGGUGCAGGAGUGAGUGACAUUAAAAAUACUUGGCAGUGGGCACAAGUGCUGACCAAUCAGACCAUCGCAUCACCAGCUAUGGGACUGGGCCCGAACGCUGGGGCCUCAGGGAUGAAGCCGGUGGUCUUCUGGGAGUUCCUGCCAAGCCCUCCCCAAUUUAGCCUCAGGCCAGUUGACUUCCUGAGCUGACAGUGCUGGCCACUGAGUGCCCAUCACCUUUGCACUCUGACCCCACAUCCUCUGGCCCCCCAGCUCCUGCCACCUUCUCUCCCUCUCUGUUCCACUUUUAUAUAUUUACUAAUGUUAUUUAAAUCAUAAUGUAAUAUAUAAUAACAUAAUGAUCAUUUAAUAUAUGAAAGAGGCUUUCAAAGCCUCUUUUUAUAUGGGAGCUGAGCAGGCAUCCUAAGCCCCGUUUCAUGGACGUGGAGGCCAAGAUGAAAGCUUUGAGAGAGGGAGUGUUUGACCAAGAACAUAACUCAGACUCCUGGGCCCAGUGACUUGCCUAAGGCCUUUUAGUCAAUCAAUCCGUGAAUACUUAGUCACUGUCUAUGGUGUGCCAGGCUCUGGUCUAAGCUUUGGGGGUGCAUCAGUGACCAGCAGAGAUGAGUCUCUGCCCUCGUGGAGCUUUCUCUUCAAUGGGGGGAGACAGGCAAUUACAAAUAGAGCGGAUAGUGUAUGACGGCCACAGGACAGCAUAUUGUGCAGAAGGUGAAGUCUUCUGGACAAACUAAAGCUGAGGAGGGGAGGGGGAUGGGGCACUGGGGGCCUUGUGUUCCCAGUGGGGAGUGGAGUGGUUAGAAACGGUCUCCCUUUGGAGGCGACUUCUGAAUAAAGACCUGAGGGAGGUGAUGGAGCCA